GACUCUGGGCAGUGGAUGACUUGACUUGUGUGUCAACUAAGAAUGCAGCCAGCUGUAGGAGUUAUCGUGAAUGGCAAUACACACUGAUCACUGACAGUUUUAAUGCACAUGUGGCCCUGGGUUAAACUUAAACCUAUGCCUGUCUAAGCAUCA
rnacentral:rRNA from 1 species